CAAAUAUAAGAAAAUCCAUAAAGUGCAAAAAUAUGAUGGAAGCUUAGUGUUCCAUUACAUGCCUUUCCAUUCAGGUCGGCGGAUUCCUCCUAACGCGACCUCCCUCUCUGCCUGUCUGUUAUUCAAAUCUCCGACCAAGUGAGAUUUCAAGGAACUGCAGCUUAGCGAGCUGCGGUCUAAACCCAAUUUUGUAAGAAAAAGACUUUAAAAAAAAAGAUGGCAUUGGUGGUAAUUUGUGGGCAGCCGUGCAGUGGGAAGUCGACAGCUGCGAAAUGUCUAGCUGAAGCUCUGAAUGAAUCAGAGUGUAAACAGACUGUAAGGAUCAUCGAUGAGACUUCAUUUCAUCUUGAUCGUAAUCAGAGCUAUGCUAAUAUGCCAUCAGAGAAGAAUUUACGGGGAGUGCUUAGGUCCGAAGUUGAUAGGUCUGUCUCCAGAGAUAAUAUCAUUAUAGUUGAUUCUUUGAACAGUAUCAAGGGUUAUCGAUACGAGUUGUGGUGUUUGGCUCGUGCUGCUGGGAUAAGGUACUGUGUGUUGUACUGUGAUGUUAGAGAAUCGCAAUGUAGGAAAUGGAAUGAAGAGCGUCGGGAGAAGGGAGAGGCUGCAUAUAAUGAUGUGAUAUUUGAGGAUUUAGUUAGAAGAUUUGAGAAACCGGAUAGAAGAAAUCGUUGGGAUUCACCUUUGUUCGAGCUAUGGGCUCAUAAUGAUGGAGUGGAGAGAUCUUCUAUUGCCAUUGUAGAUGUGGUUUCGUAUUUGACAAAAAAAGCAGACUCGAAAUCUCGGGAUGUUAAGAUUUUGCAGCCAACCAUUGCCACACAAAAUACCCGGUUUUCAGAGGCAAAUUCACUGUAUGAGAUGGACAGAGCCACGCAGGAGGUGAUUAAUGCUAUUGUGGAAGCACAAUCCCAGUCAAUUGGAGGACCUCUUGCCAGUAUCUCCAUUGGUCAAGGUUUACCGAAUAUCGAUAUUUCUAGAUCGGUUGGGUUGCCGGAGCUACGGAGAUUGCGGAGAACAUUCAUCAAGUUAACAGGACAAACAAGUUUGAGUGGACGACCUCCCCCUUCCGAUUCCAGCAGUGCAAAGAGGAUGUUUGUAGACUAUCUGAAUCGAGAACUUGGAACUAUUGCUUGAAAAAGGAGUAAUGGAAAAGCCAACAAAGUUUUCAGGCAUGAGUUCUUCGCCCCUUGCAUGUUCCAUGAUUAGCAUGAUCCUAUCCCUUAUUAAAUUAACUCCAAGGUUAUACGUACGGAUUUUAAGUGGUAGUGAAUCUUCCACACAAAGACGACAAUCUUAAAAGGUAUUUUAGCCGACCACAACAUCCUUCAAGCAUCUUCGAAAUGUUCAUGUUGUGGAAAUUCAACCAUCUGCCACUUUGAUUGUUGAGCUCGUGAGAGUAUGAUGAUUUUGCUGAAAAGUUACCAUCUCGGUCUCUUGUUGCCUUCAAAUAGAGAUUUUGCUUCCCACCAUCUUCGAGGGUCCAUACUUUGCAAUUCAUCUCGAACCUAUUCAUAAUUCUCUUCCUCCAAAUGGCUUGGAUCAUUUAACCUAUUUUUUCUCUGUUACGUGAUGUUAUGUUUGAUUAGAUCCCUUAUGUUCAUAAUGUUUCUCCAAGUACACGAGUUACGUGAUUUUGGUUGGCAUUCAAGGAAAUUUUCCUUGAAGAGCUAGCUAUGAUAACUAACAAUUCUGCAUGCUUGCUUUACUAGUAGAGCUUUAUUCAUGAUGUUCAUUUUUUCUUAUGCCUAGUCCUCCAGAUAACUUACUAUUGCAAAUUUGAUCCCAGUUUAUGUAAUGUAGUAUUUUGGUCUUCCCCCCACCAAAA